AAAUUCUGGAAAAAUCUGAACCCACCAUCACAACCCCCCCAUCCUCAACAACACUGUGGCUACUGUGGUCACUUUCUGGUUCCUGGAAUCCACCAUCUCCCAAGAUCUGAAGUGGACCUCCCACAUAGACCAUCAGGAAAAAGGCACAGCAGAGGGUG